rnacentral:lncRNA from 1 species
CUUCCCUACUAAUAAAGCAGCGACCGCUUCUGGUCGUACGUCGCCGGCCGUUUUGCAGAAAAGUCCCCCCAUUUUUUAGAAAUUAACCCGCAGUACACGCUUUACUCAGUCAGAAAAAUGUUUCGAAUUUACAAACAGGACCCUGUGUUUUCAUCUAUUCAACCCGCGAUCUGCAGAACGGCGGCGGCGCGACGGCUGGAGCUUGCAGCGAACGGAUCCAUGCACGGCAGGGGCUGGGAAGGAUUCGGAGGCGGGCGGUGAGGACGGGGGUCGCCGGUGACGACGAUUAAGGCCGGAGCGCGACUUCCCGGGAGAAUUCAUGGCAUCUGGCUCCUGUCAGGAAGGAGACGGGAAGAUGGAGGGAGGAAAAACUGGAGAAAGGAGGGGAGACGAGGCGGCGGCAGCGGGAGCAGUGCGGCAGCGCAGUGUAGAGUGCACUCACUGCGGUGUUAUCCACGGGGGUCAUGGGCAUUUGCUCGCUCGGUCGACGGGAGCAGAGGAGUCCACGGACGAGCUCCUGCUCGACAGAAGGCAGCGACAGCGCAGGUGGCAAGCUCGGCGGGCAACGCGAGUCCCGAUCCGGACGGGUCCGGCGAGAUCCGAGGCGGUUGGAUGGCUGCAGGGCCCCGGCGUAGAGGAGGCUGGCCAGCACGACGGAUAGCAGAGGGCGUCAGAGCUCGAUUCGGCUUGGCGCUCGGCCAUGGCCGUUUCCUGGAACACAUAGAGGGAGAGAGAUGCGUGGGGGGUGAGGACGAUCCAGGGAGGAGAAGAAAGGAAAAGAGGGAGAAUGAGAGGUGCCGCAGUGGCGCGCUCCGGGCGCGGGGCUAACGAGGCGGCGGCGUGAGGCAGGGGAGGUCCUCUGCAAACUCCAUGGUGCGUGGGGAGCUCCUGUAGGGAAAAGAGAGGGAGGGAAACACGGCAUGAGAGAGAGCUAGGGGAGGAGACAGGAGGAAGAAAGGGGAAGGGAGAAGGGACGACCUAGCCGUGGUCUUGCCGGCGGCGGGCGCCGGUGCUCUAGAAGCUCCUCUCCUCGGGCGCUCGGGCGUGACUCCUGAGGGAAUCGGGAGGGAGCGUCGAGGAAAGGAGAGCUGGCCGACGGCGAUUGGGGGCUUGCAAGUGAGAGGAGAGAGGAGAGGAGAAUCGAGGGAGGCAAGCGGGGUCUCGGCCACAGGUUGGAGAGAGGAGCGGCGCGAGGGGAUACGUGUGGCCUGGGGCUUAUCCCCUCGCGUGCGUGUUGUGGCUGGGGUUGGCGUCAAGAUGCCUGGCGGCCAGGCUGGGCCUU